UACGUAGGCAGCGAGCGUUGUUCGGAGUUACUGGGCGUAAAGAGUGCGUAGGCGGUUUUCUAAGUUUGGUGUGAAAUCUCCCGGCUUAACUGGGAGGGUGCGCCGAAGACUGGAAGGCUUGAGUAUGGGAGAGGUAAGCGGAAUUCCUGGUGUAGCGGUGAAAUGCGUAGAUAUCGGAAGGAACACCAGUGGCGAAGGCGACUUCCUGGCCUGCAACUGACACUGAGGCACGAAAGCGUGGGGAGCAAACAGG
rnacentral:rRNA from 1 species